GUUACAGAACUUCAAUCUCCUUUGAAUAAAAAAAGAUGGGAUCUAUGUGGAGCAAUGGUGACGAUCUUGUAAAGGAAAGGGAAAGAACGGCUGAACGGGAAAGAGAAAUUCGAAGAUUAGAAGAACUAAGAAUGCAACAAAGGAAUGAAGAUCGUCGAAAACAGAUUGAGCUAGAAGAAAAACUAAAAGAGCUGAAGCUUCAACAGCAGAAGAAGGAAG